rnacentral:rRNA from 1 species
AUUGAACGCUGGCGGCAUGCUUUACACAUGCAAGUCGAACGGUAACAGGCCGCAAGGUGCUGACGAGUGGCGAACGGGUGAGUAAUGCAUCGGAACGUGCCCAGUCGUGGGGGAUAACUGCUCGAAAGAGCAGCUAAUACCGCAUACGAUCUAUGGAUGAAAGCGGGGGAUCGUAAGACCUCGCGCUAUACGAGCGGCCGAUGUCAGAUUAGCUAGUUGGUAGGGUAAAGGCCUACCAAGGCGACGAUCUGUAGCGGGUCUGAGAGGAUGAUCCGCCACACUGGGACUGAGACACGGCCCAGACUCCUACGGGAGGCAGCAGUGGGGAAUUUUGGACAAUGGGGGCAACCCUGAUCCAGCCAUGCCGCGUGAGUGAAGAAGGCCUUCGGGUUGUAAAGCUCUUUCGGCUGGGAAGAAAUCGCACAGGCCAAUACCCUGUGUGGAUGACGGUACCAGCAUAAGAAGCACCGGCUAACUACGUGCCAGCCGCCGCGGUAA